AAACCAGCACCUCAAGUGGUCAGGAUGAUUAUUGGGCCUAAAGCAUCCGUAGCCGGCUCUGUAAGUUUUCGGUUAAAUCUGUACGCUUAACGUACAGGCUGCCGGAAAUACUGCAGAGCUAGGGAGUGGGAGAGGUAGACGGUACUCGGGAGGAAGUGGUAAAAUGCUUUGAUCUCUCGAUGACCACCUGUGGCGAAGGCGGUCUACCAGAACACGUCCGACGGUGAGGGAUGAAAGCUGGGGGAGCAAACCGGAUUAGAUACCCGAGUAGUCC
rnacentral:rRNA from 1 species